rnacentral:tRNA from 1 species
GGUCCCGUAGUUAAAUGGAUAUAACGGCUCCCUCCUAAGGAGCAGUUGCAGGUUCGAUUCCCGCCGGGAUCGCCA